AUUGAACGCUGGCGGCAUGCCUUACACAUGCAAGUCGAACGGCAGCACGGGUGCUUGCACCUGGUGGCGAGUGGCGAACGGGUGAGUAGUACAUCGGAACAUGUCCUGUAGUGGGGGAUAGCCCGGCGAAAGCCGGAUUAAUACCGCAUACGAUCUACGGAUGAAAGCGGGGGACCUUCGGGCCUCGCGCUAUAGGGUUGGCCGAUAGCUGAUUAGCUGGUUGGUGGGGUAAAGGCCUACCAAGGCGACGAUCAGUAGCUGGUCGGAGAGGACGACCAGCCACACUGGGACUGAGACACGGCCCAGACUCCUACGGGAGGCAGCAGUGGGGAAUUUUGGACAAUGGGCGAAAGCCUGAUCCAGCAAUGCCGCGUGUGUGAAGAAGGCCUUCGGGUUGUAAAGCACUUUUGUCCGGAAAGAAAUCCUUGGCUCUAAUACAGUCGGGGGAUGACGGUACCGGAAGAAUAAGCACCGGCUAACUACGUG
rnacentral:rRNA from 1 species